rnacentral:piRNA from 1 species
UCCAACAUGCUUGUAAACACAGGCGGAC